rnacentral:rRNA from 1 species
UACGUAGGUGGCAAGCGUUGUCCGGAUUUACUGGGCGUAAAGGGCGUGCAGGCGGUUUGUUAAGUGCAGGGUGAAAGCUCCCGGCUCAACUGGGAGAGGUCCUUGCAUACUGGCGAACUCGAGGGAGGCAGAGGAAAGUGGAAUUCCCGGUGUAGUGGUGAUAUGCGUAGAUAUCGGGAGGAACACCUGUGGCGAAGGCGGUUCUCUGGGACGGUACUGACGCUGAGACGCGAAAGCGUGGGGAGCGAACAGG